rnacentral:rRNA from 1 species
CGGACGGGUGAGUAACACGUGGAUAACCUACCUAUAAGACUGGGAUAACUUCGGGAAACCGGAGCUAAUACCGGAUAAUAUAUUGAACCGCAUGGUUCAAUAGUGAAAGACGGUUUUGCUGUCACUUAUAGAUGGAUCCGCGCCGCAUUAGCUAGUUGGUAAGGUAACGGCUUACCAAGGCAGCGAUGCGUAGCCGACCUGAGAGGGUGAUCGGCCACACUGGAACUGAGACACGGUCCAGACUCCUACGGGAGGCAGCAGCU